UUAAGCGACUAAGCGUACACGGUGGAUGCCCUGGCAGUCAGAGGCGAUGAAGGACGUGCUAAUCUGCGAUAAGCGUCGGUGAGGUGAUAUGAACCGUUAUAACCGGCGAUUUCCGAAUGGGGAAACCCAGUGUGUUUCGACACACUAUCAUUAACUGAAUCCAUAGGUUAAUGAGGCGAACCGGGGGAACUGAAACAUCUAAGUACCCCGAGGAAAAGAAAUCAACCGAGAUUCCCACAGUAGCGGCGAGCGAACGGGGAGGAGCCCAGAGCCUGAAUCAGUGUGUGUGUUAGUGGAAGCGUCUGGAAAGGCGUGCGAUACAGGGUGACAGCCCCGUACACAAAAAUGCACAUAUUGUGAGCUCGAUGAGUAGGGCGGGACACGUGGUAUCCUGUCUGAAUAUGGGGGGACCAUCCUCCAAGGCUAAAUACUCCUGACUGACCGAUAGUGAACCAGUACCGUGAGGGAAAGGCGAAAAGAACCCCGGCGAGGGGAGUGAAAAAGAACCUGAAACCGUGUACGUACAAGCAGUGGGAGCCUCUUAAUGGGGUGACUGCGUACCUUUUGUAUAAUGGGUCAGCGACUUAUAUUCUGUAGCAAGGUUAACCGAAUAGGGGAGCCGAAGGGAAACCGAGUCUUAACUGGGCGUUAAGUUGCAGGGUAUAGACCCGAAACCCGGUGAUCUAGCCAUGGGCAGGUUGAAGGUUGGGUAACACUAACUGGAGGACCGAACCGACUAAUGUUGAAAAAUUAGCGGAUGACUUGUGGCUGGGGGUGAAAGGCCAAUCAAACCGGGAGAUAGCUGGUUCUCCCCGAAAGCUAUUUAGGUAGCGCCUCGUGAAUUCAUCUCCGGGGGUAGAGCACUGUUUCGGCAAGGGGGUCAUCCCGACUUACCAACCCGAUGCAAACUGCGAAUACCGGAGAAUGUUAUCACGGGAGACACACGGCGGGUGCUAACGUCCGUCGUGAAGAGGGAAACAACCCAGACCGCCAGCUAAGGUCCCAAAGUCAUGGUUAAGUGGGAAACGAUGUGGGAAGGCCCAGACAGCCAGGAUGUUGGCUUAGAAGCAGCCAUCAUUUAAAGAAAGCGUAAUAGCUCACUGGUCGAGUCGGCCUGCGCGGAAGAUGUAACGGGGCUAAACCAUGCACCGAAGCUGCGGCAGCGACACUAUGUGUUGUUGGGUAGGGGAGCGUUCUGUAAGCCUGUGAAGGUGGCCUGUGAGGGUUGCUGGAGGUAUCAGAAGUGCGAAUGCUGACAUAAGUAACGAUAAAGCGGGUGAAAAGCCCGCUCGCCGGAAGACCAAGGGUUCCUGUCCAACGUUAAUCGGGGCAGGGUGAGUCGACCCCUAAGGCGAGGCCGAAAGGCGUAGUCGAUGGGAAACAGGUUAAUAUUCCUGUACUUGGUGUUACUGCGAAGGGGGGACGGAGAAGGCUAUGUUGGCCGGGCGACGGUUGUCCCGGUUUAAGCGUGUAGGCUGGUUUUCUAGGCAAAUCCGGAAAACCAAGGCUGAGGCGUGAUGACGAGGCACUACGGUGCUGAAGCGACAAAUGCCCUGCUUCCAGGAAAAGCCUCUAAGCAUCAGGUAACAUCAAAUCGUACCCCAAACCGACACAGGUGGUCAGGUAGAGAAUACCAAGGCGCUUGAGAGAACUCGGGUGAAGGAACUAGGCAAAAUGGUGCCGUAACUUCGGGAGAAGGCACGCUGAUAUGUAGGUGAAGCGACUUGCUCGUGGAGCUGAAAUCAGUCGAAGAUACCAGCUGGCUGCAACUGUUUAUUAAAAACACAGCACUGUGCAAACACGAAAGUGGACGUAUACGGUGUGACGCCUGCCCGGUGCCGGAAGGUUAAUUGAUGGGGUUAGCGGCAACGCGAAGCUCUUGAUCGAAGCCCCGGUAAACGGCGGCCGUAACUAUAACGGUCCUAAGGUAGCGAAAUUCCUUGUCGGGUAAGUUCCGACCUGCACGAAUGGCGUAAUGAUGGCCAGGCUGUCUCCACCCGAGACUCAGUGAAAUUGAACUCGCUGUGAAGAUGCAGUGUACCCGCGGCAAGACGGAAAGACCCCGUGAACCUUUACUAUAGCUUGACACUGAACAUUGAGCCUUGAUGUGUAGGAUAGGUGGGAGGCUUUGAAGUGUGGACGCCAGUCUGCAUGGAGCCGACCUUGAAAUACCACCCUUUAAUGUUUGAUGUUCUAACGUUGGCCCGUAAUCCGGGUUGCGGACAGUGUCUGGUGGGUAGUUUGACUGGGGCGGUCUCCUCCUAAAGAGUAACGGAGGAGCACGAAGGUUGGCUAAUCCUGGUCGGACAUCAGGAGGUUAGUGCAAUGGCAUAAGCCAGCUUGACUGCGAGCGUGACGGCGCGAGCAGGUGCGAAAGCAGGUCAUAGUGAUCCGAUGGUUCUGAAUGGAAGGGCCAUCGCUCAACGGAUAAAAGGUACUCCGGGGAUAACAGGCUGAUACCGCCCAAGAGUUCAUAUCGACGGCGGUGUUUGGCACCUCGAUGUCGGCUCAUCACAUCCUGGGGCUGAAGUAGGUCCCAAGGGUAUGGCUGUUCGCCAUUUAAAGUGGUACGCGAGCUGGGUUUAGAACGUCGUGAGACAGUUCGGUCCCUAUCUGCCGUGGGCGCUGGAGAACUGAGGGGGGCUGCUCCUAGUACGAGAGGACCGGAGUGGACGCAUCACUGGUGUUCGGGUUGUCAUGCCAAUGGCACUGCCCGGUAGCUAAAUGCGGAAGAGAUAAGUGCUGAAAGCAUCUAAGCACGAAACUUGCCCCGAGAUGAGUUCUCCCUGACUCCUUGAGAGUCCUGAAGGAACGUUGAAGACGACGACGUUGAUAGGCCGGGUGUGUAAGCGCAGCGAUGCGUUGAGCUAACCGGUACUAAUGAACCGUGAGGCUUAACCUU
rnacentral:rRNA from 1 species